AACGAACGCUGGCGGCAUGCCUAACACAUGCAAGUCGAACGAGACCUUCGGGUCUAGUGGCGCACGGGUGCGUAACGCGUGGGAAUCUGCCCUUGGGUUCGGAAUAACAGUUGGAAACGACUGCUAAUACCGGAUGAUGUCGUAAGUCCAAAGAUUUAUCGCCCAAGGAUGAGCCCGCGUAGGAUUAGCUAGUUGGUGAGGUAAAGGCUCACCAAGGCGACGAUCCUUAGCUGGUCUGAGAGGAUGAUCAGCCACACUGGGACUGAGACACGGCCCAGACUCCUACGGGAGGCAGCAGAGGGGAAUAUUGGACGAUGGGCGAAAGCCUGAUCCAGCAAUGCCGGGUGAGAGAUGAAGGCCUUAGGGUAGUGAAGCUCUUUUACCCGGGAUGAUAAUGACAGUACCGGGAGAAUAAGCUCCGGCUAACUCCGUG
rnacentral:rRNA from 1 species